rnacentral:lncRNA from 1 species
GUGGCGUUGGUGACCCUUGGGUGGCGUUGGUGACCCACGGGUGGCACUGGGUGGCAUUGGGUGACCCAUGGGUGGCAUUGGGUGCCAUUGGGUGGCAUUGGUGACCCACAGGUGGCACUGGGUGCCAUUGGGUGCCAUUGGGUGACAUUGGUGACCCAUGGGUGGCACUGGGUGCCCUUGGGUGGCAUUGGGUGACCCACGGGUGGCACUGGGUGCCAUUGGGUGGCAUUGGGUG